GUUAAAGUGGCAGAGACCGGUAAUUGCAUAAAACUUAAGAUUUUAGAAUCGAAGGUUCAAUUCCUUCCUUUAACA
rnacentral:tRNA from 1 species